rnacentral:rRNA from 1 species
CCCUUAAAAUAUAAGAGGUGGAACCUGCCCAAUGACCUUCAAAUAAACAAAUAUAAACAUUGAAAAAAGGUUUAAAGGAUGCAGUAACCUGACUGUAAUAAAGUAGCAUAAUCAUUCGCCAUUUAAUUAAUGGAUAGUAUGAACGGUUUAACGAACCCCCCACUUUCUAAAAGAAAGAAAUCAUGAAAUUAAAAUAAUAGUAAAGAUGCUAUUUAAGAUUGUAAGACGAAAAGACCCUAUAGAGCUUAACUAUACUCUUUCUAAAAAAUUAGAACAAAAAUUCAAAAAAAGAAAGAAUGGUAGUUUAGUUGGGGCGACUCUCUUUUAAAAAUAACAAAGAUAAGCAAAAUUAAUAAAUAAUUUAUUGUAUAACCCAUAAGUUUAACAAUUAUAAAAGUAGGCUAUAAAGACCUGUUAAAAUACAGUAAUAUAUCUAACAAUCAAUAAAUAAAAGUUACCUUAGGGAUAACAGAACAAUUUUGUCCUAGAGACCUAAUCGAAGACAAAGUUUGUCACCUCGAUGUUGAAUUAAGAUAACCUAGUAGAGCAAAAACCACUAAAGGUAGGUCUGUUCGACCUUUAAAAU